AAUAGGGUGUCUGAUUUAAGUAAUAAAUUGUAAAUUUAUUCAAGGGUUAACUUCCUCCUAUUA
rnacentral:tRNA from 1 species